CCUACGGGAGGCAGCAGUGAGGAAGAUUGGUCAAUGGGCGCGAGCCUGAACCAGCCAAGUAGCGUGAAGGAUGACUGCCCUACGGGUUGUAAACUUCUUUUAUAAAGGAAUAAAGUGAGGCACGUGUGCCUUUUUGUAUGUACUUUAUGAAUAAGGAUAGGCUAACUCCGUGCCAGCAGCCGCGGUAAUACGGAGGAUCCGAGCGUUAUCCGGAUGUAUUGGGGGUAAAGGGAGCGUAGAUGGGUUGGUAAGUCAGUUGUGAAAGUUUGCGGCUCAACCUUAAAAUUGCAAUUGAUACUGGCAGUCUUGAGUACAGUUGCGGUUGGCGGACUUCGUGGUGUAGCUG
rnacentral:rRNA from 1 species